rnacentral:rRNA from 1 species
GUAGUUGGUGUAGGUAACGGCUCACCAAGCCUUCGAUCAGUAACUGGUGUGAGAGCACGACCAGUCACACGGGCACUGAGACACGGGCCCGACUCCUACGGGAGGCAGCAGUAAGGAAUAUUGGUCAAUGGACGCAAGUCUGAACCAGCCAUGCCGCGUGGAGGAUGAAGGUCCUCUGGAUUGUAAACUUCUUUUAUUUGGGAAGAAAUGCAUCUUUUCUAAGGUGUUUGACGGUACCAGAUGAAUAAGCACCGGCUAACUCCGUGCCAGCAGCCGCGGUAAUACGGAGGGCGCAAGCGUUAUCCGGAUUCACUGGGUUUAAAGGGUGCGUAGGUGGGCAGUUAAGUCAGUGGUGAAAUCUCCGGGCUUAACCCGGAAACUGCCAUUGAUACUAUCUGUCUUGAAUAUCGUGGAGGUAAGCGGAAUAUGUCAUGUAGCGGUGAAAUGCUUAGAUAUGACAUAGAACACCAAUUGCGAAGGCAGCUUACUACCCGAAUAUUGACACUGGGGCACGAAAGCGUGGGGAUCAAACAGGAUUAGAUACCCUGGUAGUCCACGCCCUAAACGAUGGAUACUCGACAUACGCGAUAUACAGCGUGUGUCUGAGCGAAAGCAUUAAGUAUCCCACCUGGGAAGUACGACCGCAAGGUUGAAACUCAAAGGAAUUGACG